ensembl:lncRNA
GCACUGACAAGUCUGGCCCGUCAAAGUGUUUUUACAGGAGUAGUACCUGCCACAGCUGCCUCAGGUAUGAGAAGACAUUUAAAGCAACAAGCAAGACCUAGGUGUAAAUCGUUGUUGCUUUCAAAAUAAAACCAGCUGGAUAAAAAUCGCCCGUGAAGAAGAACCGUACAAUCGUUCAGGUUAUGGUUAAGGUGUUAUGGCUCAGAUAACAAAGUAAUGCAACUUUAGCUGAAAAAAGGAAAUGUACAUAAUGAGUACGUAUUUGGUCAUGUUAAACGUUGUAUUUCAAUAUGGGUUUUAUUUUGAAACUUGGGAAGGGACGUCUCUCUAACUUUGGAGUUAGUUACACCUUGCUGCGUCCCACCCAUAAAACCUGUGUGCAUUUGCCAUAAAAGUGCACAGGUGGGUCUGUGAGACGUGGACAGAGGACAGCUACGGACCCAAAUGGAGAGCAAGACUCCGUCCAAAGGUCCUGUCGGAGCAGGUGCCUGUGGUCUGCAGCCCCUUCCUGAGGUAGCCGAGCCCGAAGACCUGAGCAAUGUGGAGGGCAGCAAGUGCCAACCCGGACACCCUGCAGGGGCAAGAGAUGCAAAGGAGGUGCACUCAUUGGACAGCUCUCCGUCUUCCUCGGAGAGCGAGGACGAGGGUCUCUGCAAGAAAGACAAGAAGAAGAAAAAGCUGAAAAAGAAAACAAAGAAGAAGAAGAAGAAGGAUUCCAGCUCAUCCUCUUCCUCCUCCUCCUCCUCCUCCUCCUCCUCCAGUAGCUCUUCAGAGAGUGACAGCGAGGAUGACAAGAAGAAGAAGAAGAAAAAGCAGAAGAAGGACGAAGGGCAGAAAGAGUGUGUCCGGGACGAUGUUAUCAUAUGUAGUCCUGGUGGCCAGAUGGAGCAGCCGGGUGCAGAAGGUGCAGAAGGUGUGAAGAUGAGCCAGGAUUGUAACUCCUCAGAUGGUGAAGAUGACAAGAAGAAGAAGAAGAAGAAGAAGAAGAAGAAGAAGAAGCAGGACAAGAAGAAGAAGAAAAAGAAGAAGGAUUCGUCUUCUUCCUCAUCUGACUGUUCCUGCUCCGACUGCGAGGACGAAAAGAAGAAGAAGAAGAAGAAGAAGAAGAAGAAGAGGAAGAAGAAGGACUCAAGCUCCUCUUCCUCAGACAGCUCUUCAUCAUCCUCUGACAGCGAGGAUGACAAGAAGAAAAAGGACAAGAAGAAGAAGAAGAAGAAAAAGAAAGACAAGAAAAAGGAUUCCAGCUGCUCGUCUUCAUCUUCAUCUUCUGACAGUGAUAAAGAUGAGAAGAAAAAGAAGAACAAGAAGAAGAAGAAGAAGAAGAAGAAGAAGAAUGACAAGGAAAAGAAGAACAAGAAACACGAUGAAGAGCAGAAUGAGCUCUGCGGUGGAGCUGCUCCUCCAGCUUCUGGUGAGUGUUUUUCUGCAGGUGGUGAGACUCCGGGACCAAGUGCUGAUGGAGAGAAAAAGAAAGACGAUUCUGCCGACAAGGUCAAGAAAGAGCCUAAAGAAAAAGAAAAAUGUGGAGCAAAGGCCUUCGCUGACGCUAUUGAGGAAGGCCACCUGAGUGACGACGAGGGAGAAGGAGAGAACCACAAGAAGAAGAAGAAGAAGAUGCUGAAGAAGAAGAAGGAGAAGGGUUCCGGCUCAUCAUCAGACAGUGAUGACGACGAAGAAGACAAGAAGAAGAAAAAGAAGAAGAAGGAGAAGGACUCCUCCAGCUCCUCCUCUUCGUCUGAUAGUUGCUCCUCAGAUAGUGAUGAGGACAAGAAGAAGAAGAAGAAGAAGAAGAAGAAGGAUUCUGGAUCCUGCUCGUCUUCUUCAUCCUCUGAUAGCGAAGAGGACAAGAAGAAGAAGAAGAAGAAGAAGAAGAAGAAGAAGAAGAAAAAGAAGAAGAAGAUGAAGGAUAAGGACUCCUCCUCUUCUUCAUGCUCGGAUAGUGAAGAGGACAAGAAGAAGAAGAAGAAGAAGAAGAAGAAGAAGAAGACGAAGAAGAAGAAGAAGGAUAAGGACUCCUCGUCUUCUUCAUGCUCUGAUAGUGAAGAGGACAAGAAGAAGAAGAAGAAGAAGAAGAAGAAGAAGAAGAAGACGAAGAAGAAGAAGGAUAAGGACUCGUCCUCUCCUUCAUGCUCUGAUACUGAAGAGGACAAGAAGAAGAAGAAGAAGAAGAAGAAGAAGUCCUCUUGCGCUGAGAGUGAUGACGACAAGAAGAAGAAGAAGAAGAAGAAAGAUAAGAAGAAGAAGAAGAAAAAGAAGGAUUGUUCCUCUGGAUCGUCCAGUGAUUCGAGUGAUAAUGACAAGAAGAAGAAGAAGAAGAAGAAGAAGAAGAAAAGGAAAGAUAAGAAGAAAAAGAAAGACAAGAAGAAGGACUCCGAUUCUUCUACCAGUGCUGAUGACAAAAAGAAGAAGAAAGACAAGAAGAAGAAAAAGAAGGACAAAAAGAAGGACUCAAAGUCCAGUUCAUCGUGUCCAUCUGACGGCAGUGACAAGGAGAAUAAAAAGGACAAGAAGAAGAAGAGGUCUGGUUCAUCAGGAAGUGAAACUGACAAUAAGAAAAAGAGGGAAUGCUCUGAUGGCGAGCGAGGCGGCGAAGAUCCCGGUGCCGGUCGGGCCGGACUUUCAGCUCCCGGUGGCAGCUGCUCUACGCCUGCCGCUGCUCCCGCCGUCCCCUACGUGUCCCUCCCCUCCAAACCUGUUGUGAAGAUGGAUCCUCUGCGUCCUUCAACUGUCUGCCGGCCCUCUGCCCCUGUCUCCUCUGCCCCCGCCUCUUCUGCCCCUGUCUCCUCUGCCCCCGCCUCUUCUGCCCCUGUCUCCUCUGCGCCCGCCUCUUCUGCCCCUGUCUCCUCUGCGCCCGCCUCUUCUGCCCCCGCCUCUUCUGCCCCUGUCUCCUCUGCGCCCGCCUCUUCUGCCCCUGUCUCCUCUGCGCCCGCCUCUUCUGCCCCUGUCUGCUCUGCCCCCGCCUCUUCUGUCCCUGGGUCCUAUGUCCCUGGGUCCUUUGUCGCUGGCUCCUAUGUCCCUGGGUCCUAUGUCCCCGGCUCCUCGAGUGUUGGAGAUAAGGCCCCCAAUCGUAGGCCUCCCAGCCCCAUGGAGGCCCUGAUGGGGAGCCCGAGGCGGUACGGCUCCUCCCAUCUCAGCUCAAGCGACCUAUUGAAAGGCCCCAAGCCUUAUCAAUGAUGAGAUCAAAACACGCGUUACUCGUGUUUCCUUUUAAAGCAACUGGAGGAUGUCGACCAUGAGAGGAGAUAUGAUUCCUUGAUUUCAUGCUGGAUAAAUGUGAUGACUGGUGGAAAAACGUAUUGUGACACGAUGAAAAUGUCCAAGAUGAGAAGUAUAAUCCAAACAUGGAAAGUCACGAUUGUGUUUUUAAUCAAUAAAGCGCACAUGUGUAAUAAUACUACAGUCUUCUAUGUGUUUUGUUUCAUGUCUCAGGUUUAUGCUGCCUUCAGGGGGCUUCUGAAUAAAGGAG